rnacentral:rRNA from 1 species
GACGAACGCUGGCGGCGUGCCUAAUACAUGCAAGUAGAACGCUGAAGGAGGAGCUUGCUUCUCUGGAUGAGUUGCGAACGGGUGAGUAACGCGUAGGUAACCUGCCUGGUAGCGGGGGAUAACUAUUGGAAACGAUAGCUAAUACCGCAUAAUAGCAGUUAUUGCAUGAUAACUGUUUGAAAGGUGCAAUUGCACCACUACCAGAUGGACCUGCGUUGUAUUAGCUAGUUGGUGGGGUAACGGCUCACCAAGGCGACGAUACAUAGCCGACCUGAGAGGGUGAUCGGCCACACUGGGACUGAGACACGGCCCAGACUCCUACGGGAGGUAGCAGUAGGGAAUCUUCGGCAAUGGACGGAAGUCUGACCGAGCAACGCCGCGUGAGUGAAGAAGGUUUUCGGAUCGUAAAGCUCUGUUGUAAGAGAAGAACGAGUGUGAGAGUGGAAAGUUCACACUGUGACGGUAUCUUACCAGAAAGGGACGGCUAACUACGUG